AUUUCCUAGGCACUCCAGAGAAGAGGAAUGAAGGGAGAGAGUUGCAUUUUUAAAAUGGUAUGAUUUUUAUCUACCAAUAAGAACACAAAAUGACAGGCUCUGAGAUCCAAGCUGCUGUCAAAACUUGGACCUGGGAACGUCUCCUCUUGCUUCACUGCCUCUGCCCCAGCUUCGGGCCUCAUGUGACUCUUCCCCAUUGAGGUUUCAGGGUGAUAAGGUCACUGAGAAGAGGACAACGUGACAGUCCAGGGAAAACUAGAGAUAUUCCACACUCCCAAGUAGGAAAGUGAGGCUCGAGCAUUGGCUGAACUUGUGGCUGACUUGUUUCUGCAGAGGAAGGAAAUGGUUAUAGUGUGUAAGAUGGCUCCUGGCACGCAGCUUUCAAAUUCUCUUUACUGGCUCUAGAGAUGGCAGCCAGAACUGCCUGGUGGGCUGUAAAAAAGGAAUACGGUGAUGGGUGGGGGGAAGAGAACCCUGCCAGAAGUCCUCAAAGUUCAGAGAUAGCGAAAGGAGUCACGGAUGAUAUUUACAUCAGUGCCAAAUGGCCAGGAUGGCACCAAACAGGGUUGAUCUGAUUCCAUUCCCCCACAAAGGCGGAGCCCUCCUGGGGCACUCUCUGUUAAAUGCCAAAAAAGGACUCAUCUCUCAGCUCGGGGCCAGAAUGGGGCCUGAAGAGCAGUGAUCGCAGAUCUUAUUCUUACCUCCCAUGAGGAUGGCGAAGGGCCAUCAUGCCUGUCACUUACUUCCCUCCUGCUCCGCAUCGCUCCGCUACACACCAAGGCAAUUUCUUCUUCUCAGAUGUGUCUGCGCAAACAGAGCAUGAGAGCUGCGGUCCCAAAGAUUGCAGAGACCAUCUGACACUCACCAAUACAAGUGGGAACAAGCGGCUGAGGCUGAGAGGCUGAGAUAAGAUACGCUUAUCUCUGGAGACUUCGUGAACGCUGAGCUGAACCUGGUGCCAGAGCCGAGAAGGAAGGAGCUUCACAGGCGAGAGGCAUUAAUGGCAGCUCACCAGCCAAAGCGGCAGAACAGAGCUCCCCCAAAGCAUCCUUGCAGUUAAGUGGACCCUUGGCUUAAGCACACUCGAACCCCUCACAAGAGCUUCUCGUUAGUUAAGCAGCUUUUGAAAGAGGCUUUAGGAGCCCAGAGAAACGUUUUAAUUCCUGCCUGCGUGCAACGAACUGGUCAGAAGCAAAAAUGUCUGUCCCUGUCAUUUCAGGCAUUUGAGUCUAGAUUUGGUACUAAAAUACCCAGCAGCAAAAAAAUUCCAAGACACUGGCUAAACCUGGCUAUGGUACGGUCACGUGCUUAGAGAGAAAACCAAGGGUCCACGGAAUAAAACCUUUGUUUCGAGAGUCUCAUUGUAUAGGCCUGUCUCAAACGUAUGGUUCACUUCAGCCUUUCCAGUGCGGGGAUUACAGGUGUGUGGCACCCAUCACUGCCCCACCCACCCCCAGUUAGACAGAGUGAGGAGAUGAAACAGCCUGUUUCAGAGUUCCACAGCCCCCACAAUGCGGCUUCUGCGGGUGCACGGUGCGCACUCACUUGGUUGAUUGAAGGGCAGGACACACUGACCUACAGGAACCACCCAGGCACUUUAAGACACUGUACGAUGAUUGUGUUGGCUGCCACUGGAAGGCUUUCACCUCAGAGACCAUCUUCUCAGAUGAGGAGAGCAAGCCGCCAGAAAGGAAGCAAUUUAAGGAUACACAGGUUCCAGAGUGCCACAUAAUCUGGGUUCUCGGGAACAGAUUCUUGCUGGACAUCUUCUGGACAUCAGGGUUGACCUGUAGAACACUGUACUAGAGGCCAGGCUACAGACUGCGGAGAGCACACCAUGGUCAGCGUGAGGACAGCACUCACUACCUUCCACCUCAUCUAUACACCUCACUGAUGCUUUUUAAAAUCACUCUUCGUAGUGAACUCACCAACGAAAACAUUACAUGGCUAGAUUAAGGCAGUCCGGUCCCAAACUCUAUGCAUUUCAAUGAACUUUGCUGUACAAUUAAAAUAGUCCUUUCAAAUAGUCAUUCACCAACUCUUUCAAUUUAUCUUUUAAUUAGUAUUUGCUUUCCAUUUCAGGGUUGAAAUAAGAGAGAGGAGAAGUCAAAUAAUGAACCUUUAAGAAAAGGUCAAAUGUCACUUGAGUCCCUCUCCUGACACUGGCCAGUUUUGUCUGCAUCGUGACUUUGUACUUGCUCAUUCUUCCUUGAGGGACAUGCUCACUCUGCCCUGGGUCUAGACUUGUCUCAGAUCAAUGGUGAUUUAUGCGAUACAGGAAAGGAGUGAAGUAAAUUUCACAGGAAAUUAUACAGAGAUGAUCACCCAGGCUGGGGUUGAGGCAGUUAUGCAGGUCAUGGGAAAGAACCUGCAGCCUGGGGAAGCUUCUCGGGCUUGGAUAAACUGUACUGAAUGUGUGGUCAGCUAUAGCACAUGGUAUGAAGUGUAUCAAGACACUGGACUCAAAUUGGCCAUGAUGGAUAACUCUGAGGAUAUUCCAAGGGCAUUGUGUAAAACUUGAGACCCUAAGAGGUAUUGGCUGAAGACUGUGGACGGAGUAACAUACAGGUUAUGACAAUAAAGGACUGAGGUCACCAGGGCAAAAGCAGAAGCUAGGGAAGCUAAGGAAGCUGUAGCAGAGAAGCUACUCAGCAACUGCAGAAGCCCGAAGUGACCUGUCAGCUUGCACAAACACUGUCUCUGAGUCGUUACUGUGCCUUCCAGGUGUCCCAUCCUUUGGACCCCCGAAACCGCUGAGGCUGGUCCCCAGCAUCUAUCUAUCUAUCUAUCUAUCUAUCUAUCUAUCUAUCUAUCUAUCUAUCUAUCUAUCUAAUCUCUAAUCUA